UCCUGACCUUGUGAUCCACCCGCCUUGGCCUCCCAAAGUGCUGGGAUUACAGGCGUGAGCCACCGCGCCCGGCCGAUCUUUUCUUUCAACUUUUAGAUAUCUGUUCUCUUGAAGGCCAGGGCCCACCGCAGAACUCAAAUCUAAUCUUGUUCACCUUCAUAAGUGCUCAAAGCAAGACAAAAACUCAUCAAAAGAAGAAAAAUUAGAACAAUUAAUAUUUUUAAUUGAAGGAUGGCUGAGACACUACGUAAUGAUGUUGGCACAUCAUAUAGUAAAAAGUUAAUCAAAACAUAUUAAAAAUAAUGAGAGGAGUGCACGUCCUUGUUGGCCAUAUUUCUCUCUUCAGAUUUUUAUGAAACAUUUAUGACGUAAAAAUCUUUUUCUCAUGCCAAAAAUGAUUAAAACUUGUUUUUUAAAAAGAAUGCUUAGAUAUCAUGUCUUUCAUGGCCAUCUCUAAGUCCUCUCUGAAUUUCUAAAAUUUCGAAUGCCAAUACAUGAAGGAAAUAAUUGUGUGUUACUUUAUAGAAUGUAACAAAGUUUGCCAGAGCAUAGAAACCACAUAUAAAGGAUGGUUUCCACUACAAAAAGAGUUCAAUGUCGGGACAGGGAAGUAUAUUUCAUUCAAAAACAAACAAACAAAAAAUCCAAAUGCACUUUUUUUGUCCUUUCCUAGCAGAAGAACCAGGUAGUCAUAUAAUUAAUUAUAACUCUCAUUUCCUUUCAAAUGAACUUUGGAUAUUCAAAAUACGUGUGUGUGUGCGUGUGUGCGUGAU
rnacentral:lncRNA from 10 species